rnacentral:lncRNA from 1 species
UAUAGUGUCUCCUGUUUCACUUAUUUUUUUUCUAAUUUUUUUUUUUUAGGUAGAUGGAUGCAAUACCUUUAUUUUAUUUAUUUUUAUGUGGUGCUGAGGAUUGAACCCAGUACUUCACAUGUGUGAAGAGAGCACUCUACCACUGAACCACAACCCCAGCCCACUUAUACUUUUAUUUAUUUGAUACAUAAUGGGAGAAGGACAGCCUCUUCAAUAAAUGGUGCUGGGGAAGCUGGUUAUCUAUAUGCCAAAUGAUGAAAUUAGACCCUUAUCUCAUACCACAUAACAAAAAUCAACUCAAGAUGAAUAAAAGACUUAAACCUAAGAGCAGAAAACUGCUAGAAGAAAGCAUAAGGAAAAAAGCUUCUUAACAUUUGUUUGGGCAGUGAUUUUUGUUUGUUUUGGAUAUGACCCCAAAAGCACCUGCCACAAAAGCAAAAAUACAUAUCAAACCAAGAAGCUGCACAGCAAAGGAAAAACUCACCCGUGAAGAGACAGCCUAUGGAUUGGCAGGAGAUAUUUGCAUACUGUACAUUUGAUCAAGAGUUAAUUUAUCUUGAAACAUGUAAUAAGUUCAGACAACUCAAUAGCUAGAAAACAAAUAAGUUGAUUGAAAAAGGAUCUGAAUGUACAUUUCUCAAAAGGAGACAUACAAAUGGUUAACAGGUAUGAGAAAAAAUGUUCAAAAUUAUUAAUCAUCAGAGAAAUGCAAAUUAAAACCACAGUAAGAUAUUACCACUUUUUAGAAUGGCUGUUAUGAAAAAGAUGAAAGAUAGGUGUUGGCAAGGAUGUGGAGAAAUAGGAACCUGUACAUUGCUUGUGGGUGUAAAUUAGUAUAUUGAUUAUGAAAAUAGAAUGGAGGUUCUUCAAAAAGUUAAAAAAUAUGAUCCAGAGUCCCACUUUGGGUAUAUAUUCAGAGGAAAUGAAAUCAAUGUAUUGAUUUUUUAUUCUCAUAUUCAUUUAAGCAUUAUUUACAGUAGUCAUGAAAAAGAAUUCUAAGGGUCCAUCAAUGACUGAAUGAAUAAAGAAAAUUUACUGUGUUGUAUGUGUGCGCUUGUGUGUACAGUAGAAUACUAUUCAGCCUUAAAAAGGAAGUCCAGUCAUUUGUGAUAACAUAGAUUAACUUGGAGGACAUUAUGCUAAAUGAAAUAAACCAGACAACAGAAAGAUAAAUACUGUAUCAUAUCACUUAUGUGUAGAAUCUAAAAGCAUUGAACUCAUAGAAGCAAAGAGUAGAGUUGGUUGUCAGGGUCUAGGGUAUUGGGAAGAAAGGCCAAAGGUUAUAAACUUUGAAUUAGGAUACAUACAGUCUGGGAGUCUAUUGUACAUCAUGGUAAUUAUAUGUAAUAGUAAUGUAUACAGCUGGUUUUCUGUAUCAGUAGGUUGUGCAUCCCUGAAUUCAAACAACUGCAGAUGGAAAAUAUUUGGAAAAGAAUCUGUGCAGAAUGCGUGCAGAUUUCCCCCCUUGUCAGUAUUCCCUUACUAAUCCACUAGAACAACUGUUUACAUUAUAUUAGGUAUUAUAACUAAUCUAGAGAUAUUUAAAGUGUAUGGGAGGAUGUGUUAAGAUUAUAUGCAAAUACUAUACCAUGUUGUUAUGUAAAGGACUUGAGCAUGAUGGGAUUUUGGUAUUUGCAAGGGUUUCUGAAAUCAGUCCCCUACAAAUACUAAGGAACUACUGUACUUGAAAAUUGCUAUGAAGAGUAGUUCUUUAAUGUUCACCACAAAAAAAUAAGAAUGUGAUAUGAUGGCUGUGUUAAUUAGCUUGAUUUUAUCAUUUUCAGGUUUGCAUAUAUCAAACUUUAUGGUGGACACUGUUAAUAUGUACAAUUUUUAUUUGUCGUUUAUACCUUAAUGAAGCUAGGGAAAACAAUAACUUCACUUGAUGCUUAUGACUUCGUACCACAUAAAGUCAUUUAAAAAGCAUUUCCCAUUGCAUAUGUAGUCUUUUUUUGUUGUUGUUAAGCAAACUCUUAACCUUAAUUAAUCUUUUUAUUUUCAUUCAAAAUUUCAAGCUUAAAAUAUGAGAAUUAUAUUUUCCUCUUGGGAUAUUUGUUUUGUACUGUGUUCUCCCACCCAAGUAUAUUUAAUAGAAGUAGACAGUGAAGACCAGUGUCUAGGGGUAUAGAUUCCUAAUCAAGACUACUUGGCUUUGGAUGUGGGCUCAUUUAUUAACUGUGUGAAUUUAUCCUCUUUGUACCUCAGUUUUCUUAUCUGUAUACUGGGGCUGAUAAUAGCGUCUAUCUCAUUAGAAGUAGACGUAAACAUAGAAUGAGCUUAAGGGUUAAAUAUAUGUAAAGUUCCUAGAACCAUGCCUAUUAUAUAAUACUGCUGCAUGUGGUAGUUUUUAUUGUAUCUCCCAUUCUCUCUUCAAAUCCUGUCUUCAAUUUAGGGUUAUAAGAGAAAUCCUGCUGUGUCCAUUUUUCUAAUGUAAGGAUUUAAAAAUCAAAAGAUGAAAAACAUUUGAAAUAUCAUAGAAAUACAUAAUAAUUAAAAUAAUUAUGGUCAUAUAAUCAAUGUUUGUAAACCAAACUUUAACUUAUAGUUUAGAAGUAUGUUUUGGAAAAUUGUUUAUAUUCAAUUGAUGAAGGUGAUAAAAUUUUGAUAUCUCAUUUGAAUGAUGAAAGCUCUUGCACUGUUGCCAUGGAUUGGUAGCUCAAGUUUAUUUUAUUAUGUAGACAUGUGUCUAAUAAAAAAAAAAUAGAUGCAGCAUGAACCAUCGUUUGAGUUUGAAUGUGCUUCUGUCUGGGGUUGAGGUAUAAAUGUUAUUUCUGGCUGUGUCCUUCAUACUUAGCUCUUCUUACAACAAAUGGAAAGUCCUCAAUUGUGCCUAAGGGAAUAGUUAACCCACAGUGGACAUAUGGUAGACAAAAGCUGAGUCUAAUAAAUAAAAUAAAAUUAUAAAUGAUAAACAUGUGAAGGCCUUCAAAG